AUCAGAAUCAUCGAAGAUUCCGAGGCGAGUACGAAACUACGAACCGACCAGAGAGGUUUGAUUCCCAAACAAAGGAUAUCCUUUGCUGUUCCGAGUCAAAACCUUCAGAAAAGGACGUUUCUUGUUCCUGUCAAUGAAAGAAGCAAAAAAUUGAAACAAAAGUGACGCAGUUGAAGGAUGGCGGCGAGUUCCGCAAGAUUUUCAUCUGCUGGGGAAGAAAGAAAUGGAGAAGGAAGAGGAGUUAAAGGAGACCCAGAUCAUACACAAAUGAUAAACAAGCUUGCUGGUGCUGUGAUGGAGAAGUUUGCAUUUUCAGACCCUCCAAAACACUCACACCGGAUCAGAAGAAUGAUAUCAAAUGACAUCUUUGUAGACUCUUACCUGUGUUUCACACGCCCGAUCACCCCACCUAUGCCGUGAUGAUACGCAGGGCAAUUGAGGAGUUGAAUGAGGAACGGGGGUCAACUGAAGAAGCAAUAUCAAAAUUUAUUAGAGAGAAGUUUGACGGUUUGCCAUUGGCUCAUGCAAGUUUCUUGAGUCUUCACUUGAAGAAGCUAAACGAGAGGGGAGAAAUUGUUUGUGUAUCAAAAAAUUGUUAUAUGCUUCCAACUGAUAAAGGUGAUUCUCUUUCUAGAAGAAAGCGUGUCCCGAAACAAAAGAAGACUCGGAAGGGUUGGGGAAAAAGAAAAUCAGCUAAAGGAAAAGAACAUAAAACAUUAGCAGAAGAACAAGUUGAAGUGACUGAGAAACAGAGAAAGCAGGGGAAGCAAAGUCAAAAACCACAGUAUUGUAAGGCAGUUGACAACCAAACUGGAGCUCCAGAGCAAGUCAAUGGACAACAAUGUCAAAGAAAAAUGGAAGAAAUUGCUGCAAUUGCUGAAAAGAAAAGAACAAAUUGAAGAAGAUCAGCAGAGUAAGGUGAUUGAUUGAUAAAAAAGAAUCUCCUGAUGCACAGCAAGGAGAAGUAAUUAAACAACAAAUUCAAGGUAUUGCAGUCAUUGUUGUUCCCCGAAAUUCCGCAGAACAGAAAUAUAUAAAGUCCCCGAAGAACAACAAGUUGAAGUGACUGAACAACAGCAGCAGCACAGGCAGCAAAUUCAAGAACUGAUUCGAGAAGAACAGCAUAGUAUGGUAAUUGACUGUCAAAAUGGAUCUCCAGAUGAAGAAAAUGUACAGUAAGAUGAAGUGAAUAGGCUGAA